rnacentral:rRNA from 1 species
GACGAACGCUGGCGGCGUGCUUAACACAUGCAAGUCGAACGGAAAGGCCCUGCUUUUGUGGGGUGCUCGAGUGGCGAACGGGUGAGUAACACGUGAGUAACCUGCCCUUGACUUUGGGAUAACUUCAGGAAACUGGGGCUAAUACCGGAUAGGAGCUCCUGCUGCAUGGUGGGGGUUGGAAAGUUUCGGCGGUUGGGGAUGGACUCGCGGCUUAUCAGCUUGUUGGUGGGGUAGGGGCUUACCAAGGCGUGGACGGGUAGCCGGCCUGAGAGGGUGACCGGCCACAUUGGGACUGAGAUACGGCCCAGACUCCUACGGGAGGCAGCAGUGGGGAAUAUUGCACAAUGGGCGGAAGCCUGAUGCAGCAACGCCGCGUGCGGGAUGACGGCCUUCGGGUUGUAAACCGCUUUCGCCUGUGACGAAGCGUGAGUGACGGUAAUGGGUAAAGAAGCACCGGCUAACUACGUG